UACCAGUGAAAGGGAAGAUUGAGAAUAUUGGAUAACUCUUGCACUUGGGAGGUGGACAUGAUAGUGGAAAACCUUGUAUAAUGAGACCACGAGAGGUGGGGAGGAAUGCAGUUGGCAUGAAAGAAACUAAAGAUGGCAAGAGAUGCAACAUUACAGCAAAAUGACUGGACUAUAGAAGCUAGCAAGAGAUGCAACAUUGCAAGAGAGAGAUACGUUUAUUAUUUCAUUAUUUGCUCACUUUUCUCCAAAAUAUUUUCACUGCAUACACCACAUCGAGAUGCAUACUUUGCUCGUAACAGUACACACUAAGUACACAUACCUACUCGCCAUAAUCCCGUUGUAAGCUCCCAUGCCAUGCGUCGCGUCGUCUACUCCCGGGCCGCGCAUGCUCAGAAGACGCACGUAAACACACGGUCUACGCCUCACGUUGCUUCAUGACACUCACCUUGCUCCGUUAAUUUGACAUUCUUUCCCCCAUUCCCUAAAAUGUGACUUAAUUCGUGGCCAAUAGUAAGAAGGUGGAAGCACUUACUAGUCAGCACCGCCGCCGGUCAUGUGGAAGGUGAGGGGAAGUGGAAGUAAGGGAACAUGGCAGGACAUUGGAGUGGAAGAGGAAAAAAUUGUGGACUAAACGGGUGGAAGGAAUGGGGAGAUUGAAAAGGUGGAAUACUUACAGCACAUCAUCACGUCCCUUACUGCUCCAUAUCCUGACCAGUGCACCCAGUCUUUUCAAUGAUAUAAGUUAAACGGGUGGACUUGGAACCUCAAGGGAAACUACAUGUAAUAAUUGAGUUAAAAUGGGUGGAACUGGAGGAUGGGAGUGUGCACUCUUGGGAGUUCAGGGAGUGGCAAUGCUUCACCUGAUGCUGUGGAGCCAUGAGGCAGAGGAUCCACCAGGUUAAUGGUCACAAGUUCAUGGCAACCUUCCUUUGACAACCUACUUUCUGCUCCCACUGCAGAGAAUUUAUUUGAGGCUUUGGAAAACAAGGGUAUCGGUGCCAAGUUUGUACCUGCAGCAUCCACAAGUGCUGUCACUGGUCCGUCAAUGCAUGUUGUUCAUGAAGCAAGAAUGUGGAGGCUAGAGUAACACAAGAACAAGCAGAGUAUUGGUGUGUGUUACCACACAGGUGGUAACAUGGAGAGCAAGUGGAAGAAACUGUGGGAGACUUGUGUGACUCAGGAACAGGAAGCACAUCUCACUGGGAACCUUGUGACUGGUGGUGGUGACUUCAGGAACCAACAUUCAGGUGGUAACAUGGAGAGCAAGUAGAAAAAACCUUGGGAGAUUUCCAUAACUCAGGAGCAAGAAGUACACCUUACUGGAACCUUAGUCACAUGACUAACUGCUGGUGGUGACUGCAGGAACGAACAUUUGGACAUGUCUUCUAGUGACAACGUCCUGUCUGCAAUCAGGCUGGUAGUGCCAUGUCACAGGGUCUGACAGGACCUCAGGAAGAGCCAAAUAUAGGGUGUCUACAGCCAUUACUGGGUGUACAAGUGUCACAAGCCAGUUGCCACAGCACAUCAUGUCAUCUGACUCCACCAGUGUAUUAUUAUUAUUAUAUUGUCCAGUCCAGGAUGCAUUGCUGUGUAUGACUUGAUAGUUUGCUAGCAAUGUGGUAUAUAGUUUAAGGUAUGGUUUGCACAUAGAAACCCCGGCCGAGCAACAUUGAUCGCUUGGACAGGAUUUUUUUGUGCAAACCGUACCUUUAAUUUUUUUUUGCCUUCAGGGCCCUUUGUUACUCUCAGAAAACUUGUUUGCAAAAGAAAAGAUAUUCUUCACAUGGUUAUUUAUAGCCAUAAAUAACUAUCAUUAUGUUCAUAAAAAUAUACCAGUUAUAUAAUAAAACAUGGCACUUAGGAAAACUAUUUUCCUUAUUUACUGAAGUGCUGAUGUACAAAAUUUAUUAUCCCAAGCCUGAAUGGUGGUGAUGCUUGCUGAGUACGGGAGAGGGAUUUCUUAUAAUAUUCUUCCUUCCCAGGCUGGAAUGGAUAAACACUCUUGCAGCAGGGCCUGGAAGUAGCAAUGCUUGCUGAUUCUUGUGUCAACCUGAGUGGGGAGCAAGCUCUUCUGGUGCCAAUAGCUCUUGUGCCUCUGAAAGUCCCUCAAUGUUGCUUGUCAGUCUCACCACAACUUAAAGGAAUUUCAUGCACUCUUCCUGCUGUUAACUGCUUGACAGUCUUGCUCCUGCUCAAAAUUUUUGACUUCCUCGAUUGCAAUAAAAAAACUCUUGUACCAG